UACGGAGGGAGCUAGCGUUAUUCGGAAUUACUGGGCGUAAAGCGCACGUAGGCGGCUUUGUAAGUAAGAGGUGAAAGCCUGGUACUCAACACCAGAACUGCCUUUUAGACUGCAUCGCUUGAAUCCAGGAGAGGUGAGUGGAAUUCCGAGUGUAGAGGUGAAAUUCGUAGAUAUUCGGAAGAACACCAGUGGCGAAGGCGGCUCACUGGACUGGUAUUGACGCUGAGGUGCGAAAGCGUGGGGAGCAAACAGG
rnacentral:rRNA from 1 species